rnacentral:sRNA from 2 species
AUGUACCACACGCACACUCGGGUCACUGCGCGGCGUCCACAACCACCUGACAACUGCUCGCUACGUGUCGCUAGCC